rnacentral:rRNA from 1 species
UCGAGCGGUAAGGCCCUUCGGGGUACACGAGCGGCGAACGGGUGAGUAACACGUGGGUGAUCUGCCUCGUACUCUGGGAUAAGCCUGGGAAACUGGGUCUAAUACCGGAUAUGACCACGAGUCGCAUGGUUUGUGGUGGAAAGAUUUAUCGGUGCGAGAUGGGCCCGCGGCCUAUCAGCUUGUUGGUGGGGUAAUGGCCUACCAAGGCGACGACGGGUAGCCGGCCUGAGAGGGCGACCGGCCACACUGGGACUGAGACACGGCCCAGACUCCUACGGGAGGCAGCAGUGGGGAAUAUUGCACAAUGGGCGGAAGCCUGAUGCAGCGACGCCGCGUGCGGGAUGACGGCCUUCGGGUUGUAAACCGCUUUCGACAGGGACGAAGCGUGAGUGACGGUACCUGUAGAAGAAGCACCGGCCAACUACGUGCCAGCAGCCGCGGUAAUA